CUCCAUUUGAGAAAUACUGCUACUUCCGGAAGCGCUGGCAACGUCAUUGCUAUGGCAACGUGUAAACUUGCCGUUGCCUGGAUACCAAGUCUACGGUUCCAGACUCACUGUCUUGGAGUAGUUUAUGAGUUAAAAUAAACUGAAAGUAAGAGACUUUAAGUGAAUGAGGACAAAGCCGUUGGAGACACUGUGUGACACAGUCAUUUAGCUCCGUGGAGUCCGACAUGUCAGUGGAAGGAGGAACCGAAGCACAGGUGGAGCCCACACCUCAGUCACCUAGCCCGGGUCCGGAGGCUGAAGAGCAGCCUGAGCAGUCAGCGUCACCCGGUGAGACCAGUCUAUAACCAUAACCUCCAUACUGAACUAAUGGCUUCUGCGUUCAUUAGUACAACUACAAACAGCUGAUUAUAUAGUCAAUCUGUGAUGUCUUACAAGGACAAUGUCAUAUUGUGGAAAAAUUAUUUAAAUCUUUUCAUGCUUAUUUUGCUGGUUUAUUUGAUGCACAAUGUAAGUUCUGAUAUUAGUUUUGACACUUCUCCUGCUUUCUAAUGAAUGUGAUGGUUUUGUUUGGGAAUAUUAAUGUUGUUGUUUUUCCAGAGGAGCUGUGCUCUGAGGAAAAAGAAAAAGAAAAAGAAACUAACGUGGGCUGUGCUCGAAAUGGCGCACUCUGUACUAUUAUCAAUAGUGUGUGUCUGCAGAGAACACUGUCUAUGUUAGUGCUGUAUGAGUGUAGCCCUGGGCACGUGCGGUUUCCAUCUCUGCAGACAUUACGCUUUUCUAUGUACACCUAAAAAAUGUCCCGAUAAAGUCUACUAUAUCACGUACAUAAUCUUUGCACACUGUCGAAACUAGUUAUUGACGUCAGAGUUAGUGCGAGUAGUACCUGAGGAUGAUAUUUACAACAUACAACACGACCGUAGUGUACUUCCGGGUAUUUCUUGCGCACCUAAUCGUUGGACGUUAUGACGUCAGACAGUGCUGAGUGCGCUAUUUCGAUCACAGCCAUAGACUCACCUGAUGAUGAGCCUCAAAACUCAGAAGACGUUGGAAGCUCAACAGCUACUGUUAAGGUAGUGCUGGUGCCAGUGGGUCAUGUGAUCACCGUAGCCUUUUCCAUCGGUCUCAGCGUUCAGAAGCUCAAGUGUCACCUGGCCUCAGAGCUCCGGGUCCCUGUGGAGGUGCUCCAGCUCUCCCUGAACGGUGCGCGUCUCAUCCUGAUCCUCCAUCAUGUCUAAGCUUUCCCACUUGUCUUUGGUUGACAGACGUCACUUUUAUACCCCAAAUAUUUACUUCUUCUCAUUGAGUGGAAAAUGGUGUCUUCCACGAUGCAGACAUGCAGGAUGCUUUUUACCUGCUGCCAAAUCCAAAUUCUGGAUCAGAUCCGUACGAAACUUAACAUUUUGAAAGAGGUCACAACCCGAUAUCAGUCCACCAAAUUUGAAUGAAAUCCACACUUAUUUAAAGUGUAUAGGAUUUUUUGAAAGUCGUAUAUGGGCUUUCCAAUGUUAAUUUCAGCAAUCUGGAUCAAAGAUCCGGAUCCCGUGGUCAGACGUUGCAUGUCAUAGCCUUACACCAUCCUGCAAAAAUCUUAAAUGAAUCGAUGAAGAUCUGACGGAGAUAUGAAUUUUAGAAUUUUUUGCCCCCUACUAAAGAUAGGGGAAUUCAGUGAAUUUUAUUUACAUAUAUAUAUAUAUAUAUAUAUAUAUAUAUAUAUAUUUUUUUUUUUUUCUUGAUCUUGAACGUACCUUCACCAAAAUUGAUUGGUCUCACCUGCGGUC
rnacentral:lncRNA from 1 species